rnacentral:lncRNA from 1 species
UUCUCUCUCUAUAUAUAUUCAACACACACAAACACUAAAGUUAUGAACAACCGCCACCAAUCUUUGAUUCUCUCUCUCGAAGAACAACUCUUCUUCAAAUUAUCCACCUUAUUCUUACACUGCUCCACACUCUUCGACUGAUUCUCACACCUCUCCCUAACCGCAGUGGAUACCUCUUCCCAAUCCCUAACCCCCAAAUUUCCACGGUUCAAUUGAACAAACUUCUCCAAAUAAGCAUCUAACAAGCACGCAAUCGCUGCGUCACUCCACUCUUCUCGAUCCUUCCUGUAAUCCGACGAAUUACUCACGAUUUUCACCUUCUUAUUGUAACUGUACGGCAGUGAACGGAGGUGGAGUAAAGGUGUUAGUGAACGUGUUUGGUUAGGGUUUGCAGCGGUCGGGGUUCAGGUUUGUCGAGAUGUGGAAAGAGUUGCAGGCUUUGGUGGAUGAAUUAUUUGCACCCAAAUGUGAAACCUGAUGGUCAAAGAUGGCUAAACUAUUCCACUCUAAACAACCAUCGCUGCAGAGGACUAUCGGUGACAUAAAAACCUGGGAUUUCUCUGGAUAAAGCACAGAUCCAAGAAGGUGGCUUUGGACUGGGAAACAUGGAAUGGCUUUAAGUUAUACAAGGUUGGUUGGUAGAAAAAUGUCUGUACUGGUGAUUUAGUUAUGGUGGCAAUGUAAUGGUGUGUAAUGUAUGACUAGUACUCUGCUAAGUCUUUUAAUUUGAGCAAUAAAAUUUGGUUGAACGUUC